rnacentral:rRNA from 1 species
AUUCCUACGGGAGGCAGCAGUGGGGAAUAUUGCACAAUGGGCGCAAGCCUGAUGCAGCCAUGCCGCGUGUGUGAAGAAGGCCUUCGGUUGUAAAGCACUUUCAGUCGUGAGGAAGGUAGUGUAGUUAAUAGCUGCAUUAUUUGUACGUUAGCGACAGAAGAAGCACCGGCUAACUCCGUGCCAGCAGCCGCGGUAAUACGGAGGGUGCGAGCGUUAAUCGGAAUUACUGGGCGUAAAGCGCAUGCAGGUGGUUUGUUAAGUCAGAUGUGAAAGCCCGGGGCUCAACCUCGGAAUUGCAUUUGAAACUGGCAGACUAGAGUACUGUAGAGGGGGUAGAAUUUCAGGUGUAGCGGUGAAAUGCGUAGAGAUCUGAAGGAAUACCGGUGGCGAAGGCGGCCCCCUGGACAGAUACUGACACUCAGAUGCGAAAGCGUGGGGAGCAAACAGGAUUAGAUACCCUGGUAGCACAGAG